rnacentral:rRNA from 1 species
AUGAACGCUAGCGACAGGCUUAACACAUGCAAGUCGAGGGGCAGCAUGAAGUAGCAAUACUUUGAUGGCGACCGGCGCACGGGUGAGUAACGCGUAUGCAACCUACCUGAUACAGAGGGAUAGCCCAUGGAAACGUGGAUUAACACCUCAUAGUAUUAUAUAAUUGCAUGAUUAUAUAAUUAAAUCUUUGGAGGUAUCAGAUGGGCAUGCGUCCUAUUAGCUAGUUGGCGGGGUAACGGCCCACCAAGGCGAUGAUAGGUAGGGGGUUCUGAGAGGAAGGUCCCCCACAUUGGAACUGAGACACGGUCCAAACUCCUACGGGAGGCAGCAGUGAGGAAUAUUGGUCAAUGGUCGAGAGACUGAACCAGCCAAGUCGCGUGAGGGACGACUGCCCUAUGGGUUGUAAACCUCUUUUGUAAGGGAAGAAUAAUUUAUACGCGUAUAGAGAUGCCUGUACCUUACGAAUAAGCAUCGGCUAACUCCGUG